rnacentral:rRNA from 1 species
GGUGCCUACGGGGCGCAGCAGUGGGGGAUAUUGCACAAUGGGGGAAACCCUGAUGCAGCGACGCCGCGUGAGUGAAGAAGUAUUUCGGUAUGUAAAGCUCUAUCGGCAGGGAAGAAAAAAAUGACAGUACCUGACUAAGAAGCCCCGGCUAACUACGUGCCAGCAGCCGCGGUAAUACGUAGGGGGCAAGCGUUAUCCGGAUUUAAUGGGUGUAAAGGGAGCGUAGGCGG